rnacentral:lncRNA from 10 species
AAAACAGACCACAAAACCUUGAAAACACUCAGGGACUAGAAGCACCAGGUAGCUCAGAAAGAGGAGUGUGGGAGGCUGCUGACCCAGAUGAAUGGAAUGAAACAUUGUAGGGAACAGUUAUAUCCUCAGAUGCCUUCUCUCAUCCCACAAAGCUGAGCAGCUGUCCGUCCUUGACUCUGGGAGAAAGGCGUUAUCAUCAAGAUUUCCAUAAGUGGACAGAAGACACACUGACCAUGAAAGGAAGGCCAGCACUGGGUGAUCAUUUUCAUUCUAAAUGGAAUCUCAUCAAAUAAGCAAAGAAGAUUAAGCGCAGAGAAAAGACAAUGCUGUCACCAUGCCCAUGCCAAACACUUUUCAUCUAUUCUUCUGAGACUAGCUCUGAGAAGUUACCUGGGAGAUUUUACCUAUGUAAGAAGACAACCUUUGCUCACUGUGGAGUUCUGUCCCUCACUUUUCUGCAAUUUGUUGGAACAUCCUUCAGAGAUCAGAGAAGCUUUGUUCUAGGACAUUGGCUGUUCUUGGGACUCAUUCAAUCUCCCUGAAAGUCACUUACUACCCCUUAAAAUUACCUACAUUUCUCAUUUCUCUCUUCCCUAUGAAGAGAGUAUUUAAGCUUCAACCACCUUGCCCUUCUUUGAGUUUCAUAUUUUGUAUGGUUCCCGUAAACACUUACAUGUUAAUAAAUUUGUGUGCUUUUCCUCUUGUAAAUCCAUUGUCAGUUUAUUUUAGCAGACUUGAAACUUCAGAGGGGGAGGAAAAAAUUCCCAUCAUCCCU